GACGAACCGUGCGAACGUUGUUCGGAAUCACUGGGCUUAAAGGGCGCGUAGGCGGCUCGCCGAGUCCGGGGUGAAAGCCCCCAGCUCAACUGGGGAAGUGCCUCGGAUACUGGCGAGCUCGAGCGAGGUAGGGGCAGCUGGAACUUCCGGUGGAGCGGUGAAAUGCGUUGAUAUCGGAAGGAACGCCGGUGGCGAAAGCGAGCUGCUGGACCUCUUCUGACGCUGAGGCGCGAAAGCCAGGGGAGCAAACGGG
rnacentral:rRNA from 1 species